rnacentral:rRNA from 1 species
GACGAACGCUGGCGGCGUGCUUAACACAUGCAAGUCGAACGGAAAGGCCCUGCGUUUGUGGGGUGCUCGAGUGGCGAACGGGUGAGUAACACGUGUGUAACCUGCCCCUGACUGAGGGAUAACUUCAGGAAACUGGGGCUAAUACCGGAUAGGAGCUCCUGCUGCAUGGUGGGGGUUGGAAAGUUUCGGCGGUUGGGGAUGGACUCGCGGCUUAUCAGCUUGUUGGUGGGGUAGUGGCUUACCAAGGUUAUGACGGGUAGCCGGCCUGAGAGGGUGACCGGCCACAUUGGUACUGAGGUACGGCCCAGACGCGUACGGGAGGCAACAGUGGGGAAUAUUGCACAAUGAGCGGAAGCCUGAUGCAGCAGCGCCGCGUGCGGGAUGACGGCCUUCGGGUUGUAAACCGCUUUCGCCUGUGACGAAGCGUGAGUGACGGUAAUGAGUAAAGAAGCACCGGCUAACUACGUG